GUUCUUUGCAGUGCUCAGGACACCGCCCUUUCAUGACGGUAACAGGGGUUCGAAUCCCCUAGGGGACGCCA
rnacentral:tRNA from 1 species